AUGGCUGAGCAGAAAACAGUCACUUCCCCUUUGCUGGGGCCCAGGACACACCCAGAGAGGAGGGGACGCAUUUGAGUUCCUCGCUUCACCGUGUGUGAGGAACACCCUUGGGAUGCCAGCCUGUAGUCUAAGAGCAGCUGUCAGGCAGCGGCUGUGGCAUACUACAACCCCAUUAAUGAAAAAGGAAACUAGAUGAACUCUGGUACUGGAGGCAUCUUAAGAUACUACCUCUGAACUCUGAAGGCUGAAAAAAUAAAAGAAUGGCUAAGAAGUCAAGCAUGACUUUGUAGAGACUUGUGCAUCAAACAAGACAAGAAUUAGAGUCUAGAGCUCACCAAGGAGGAGCCUGGGAACCCAACCACACAACCCAAGCUUUCGGUUGAUCUCCAACGGGUUUUAACUCCCUGGACUCCAACCAAGCCAAUCAUCUCAUAGGCUCUAAAAUCACCUCUGAGUUACCCAGGUCCUGUCAAGUUCUGAUUGGAUUAAGGUUACCCAGGUGAUGCCCCUGCCUCCCAAGUGCUGAGAUUAAAGGUGUGUGCUGUCA